GCCCUCGUAGCUCAGUUGGUAGAGCACGUCGCGGUACUAAAGCGAGGGUGGUGACCAUGCGUGGGUUCGAGUCCCUCCGGGGCCA
rnacentral:tRNA from 1 species